GGGAAACCGUCGCGGUAUCGAUCGAGGUC
rnacentral:sRNA from 1 species